UACGGAGGGAGCUAGCGUUAUUCGGAAUUACUGGGCGUAAAGCGCACGUAGGCGGCUUUGUAAGUUAGAGGUGAAAGCCUGGAGCUCAACUCCAGAAUUGCCUUUAAGACUGCAUCGCUUGAAUCCAGGAGAGGUGAGUGGAAUUCCGAGUGUAGAGGUGAAAUUCGUAGAUAUUCGGAAGAACACCAGUGGCGAAGGCGGCUCACUGGACUGGUAUUGACGCUGAGGUGGCGAAAGCGUGGGGAGCAAACAGGG
rnacentral:rRNA from 1 species